rnacentral:rRNA from 1 species
UGGGGAAUCUUGCACAAUGGGGAAACCGUAGCAUGCAGCGACGCCGCGUGAGCGAUGAAGCCCUUCGGGUGUGAAAGCAUCUUUCGGCAGGAACGAUAAUGACGGUACCUGAAGAAGAAGCUGCGGCUAACUACGUGCCAGCAGCCGCGGUAAUACGUAGGCAGCAAGCGUUGUUCGGAGUUACUGGGCGUAAAGAGUGUGUAGGCGGUUCUCUAAGUUCCGUGUGAAAUCUCCCGGCUCAACUGGGAGGGUGCGCGGGAAACUGGAGGGCUGGAGUAUGGGAGAGGAAAGCGGAAUUCCUGGUGUAGCGGUGAAAUGCGUAGAUAUCAGGAGGAACACCUGCGGUGUAGACAGCUUUUUCUGGACCAUCACUGACGCUGAGACACGAAAGCGUGGGUAGCAAACA